AAGAGACAGCAGCCGCCGCGGUAAUACGUAGGUGGCGAGCGUUGACCGGAAUCAUUGGGCGUAAAGGGAGCGCAGGCGGGCAUGUAAGUCUUUCUUAAAAGUGCGGGGCUCAACCCCGUGAUGGGAAAGAAACUACAUGUCUUGAGUACAGGAGAGGAAAGCGGAAUUCCCAGUGUAGCGGUGAAAUGCGUAGAUAUUGGGAGGAACACCAGUGGCGAAGGCGGCUUUCUGGACUGCAACUGACGCUGAGGCUCGAAAGCCAGGGGAGCGAACGGGAUUAGAUACCCCCGUAGUCCCUGUCUCUUAUACA
rnacentral:rRNA from 1 species